rnacentral:rRNA from 1 species
AGUUAAGUUAGAAAGGGCGCACGGUGGAUGCCUUGGCACUAGGAGCCGAUGAAGGACGGGAUUAACACCGAUAUGCUUUGGGGAGCUGUAAGUAAGCUUUGAUCCAGAGAUUUCCGAAUGGGGAAACCCUCUAUCCGUAAUGGGAUAGAAUCUUUACCUGAAUACAUAGGGUACUGAAGGCAGACCCGGGGAACUGAAACAUCUAAGUACCCGGAGGAAGAGAAAGCAAACGCGAUUCCCUGAGUAGCGGCGAGCGAAACGGGAUUAGCCCAAACCAAGAGGCUUGCCUCUUGGGGUUGUAGGACACUCUAUAUGGAGUUACAAAGGAACGGGGUAGACGAAUCGAUCUGGAAAGGUCAGUCGUAGAAGGUAAAAACCCUGUAGUCGAAACUUCGUUCCCUCUUGAGUGUAUCCUGAGUACGGCGGGACACGAGAAAUCCCGUCGGAAGCAGGGAGGACCAUCUCCCAAGGCUAAAUACUCCCUAGUGACCGAUAGUGAACCAGUACCGUGAGGGAAAGGUGAAAAGCACCCCGGAAGGGGAGUGAAAUAGAUCCUGAAACCGUGUGCCUACAAGUAGUUAGAGCCCUUUUAUGGGUGAUAGCGUGCCUUUUGUAGAAUGAACCGGCGAGUUACGAUUACAUGCGAGGUUAAGUUGAUAAGACGGAGCCGCAGCGAAAGCGAGUCUGAAUAGGGCGAAAUAGUAUGUGGUUGUAGACCCGAAACCAGGUGAUCUACCCAUGUCCAGGGUGAAGUCCAGGUAACACUGGAUGGAGGCCCGAACCCACGCACGUUGAAAAGUGCGGGGAUGAGGUGUGGGUAGCGGAGAAAUUCCAAUCGAACUUGGAGAUAGCUGGUUCUCUCCGAAAUAGCUUUAGGGCUAGCCUCAAGAUUUAGAGUAUUGGAGGUAGAGCACUGUUUGGACUAGGGGCCCCCAUCGGGUUACCGAAUUCAGACAAACUCCGAAUGCCAAAUACUUAUUCUUGGGAGUCAGACUACGAGUGAUAAGAUCCGUGGUCAAGAGGGAAACAGCCCAGACCACCAGCUAAGGUCCCAAAGUAUACGUUAAGUGGAAAAGGAUGUGGAGUUGCUUAGACAACCAGGAUGUUGGCUUAGAAGCAGCCACCAUUUAAAGAGUGCGUAAUAGCUCACUGGUCGAGUGACUCUGCGCCGAAAAUGUACCGGGGCUAAACGUAUCACCGAAGCUGUGGAUUGACAUCUAUGAUGUCAGUGGUAGGAGAGCGUUCUAAGGGCGUUGAAGCUAGACCGUAAGGACUGGUGGAGCGCUUAGAAGUGAGAAUGCCGGUAUGAGUAGCGAAAGAUGAGUGAGAAUCUCAUCCACCGAAUGCCUAAGGUUUCCUGAGGAAGGCUCGUCCGCUCAGGGUUAGUCGGGACCUAAGCCGAGGCUGAAAAGCGUAGGCGAUGGACAACAGGUUGAUAUUCCUGUACCACCUUUAAAUCGUUUGAGCAAUGGGGGGACGCAGGAGGAUAGGGUAAGCGUGCUGUUGGAUUAGCACGUCCAAGCAGUUAGGCCGGUAAU